UACGUAGGUGGCAAGCGUUGUUCGGAUUUACUGGGCGUAAAGGGCGCGUAGGCGGCAUGACAAGUCACUUGUGAAAUCUCCGGGCUUAACUCGGAAAGGUCAACUGAUACUGUGCGACUAGAGUGCAGAAGGGGCAACUGGAAUUCUCGGUGUAGCGGUGAAAUGCGUAGAUAUCGAGAGGAACACCUGCGGCGAAGGCGGGUUGCUGGGCCGACACUGACGCUGAUGCGCGAAAGCCAGGGGAGCGAACAGG
rnacentral:rRNA from 1 species